GACGAACGCUGGCGGCGUGCCUAACACAUGCAAGUUGAGCGACGAACCAGGGCUUGCCCGGGGGCCACGCAGCGAACGGGUGAGUAACACGCGGGUAACCCACCCCGAUAACCGGGACAACCCGAGGAAACACGGGCUAUUACCGGGUGUACUCACUCCACCUCCGUUCAGUGCGUAAAGGAGUCUCCGGCCUCCGUAACGGGCGGGGCCCGCGCCCGCUUGGUUUGGUGGUGGGGUAACGGCUCACCAAGGCCGGGAUGGGUAGCUGGUCUGGGAGGACGAUCGGCCGCACUGGGGCUGGGACGCGGCCCAGGCUCCUGCGGGAGGCAGCAGUGGGCAAUCUUGCGCAGUGGGCGGAAGCGUGACGCAGCAGCGCCACGUGGGAGGAGGAGGCCUUCGGGUUGUGAACCCCUUUCAGGGGGGACGAAGGUUCGGCGGUGGAUAGCCGUCCGGACUGACGGUACCUCCACAAGAAGCCCCGGCUAACUACGUG
rnacentral:rRNA from 1 species